rnacentral:lncRNA from 1 species
GGGGAUGAUGUGCUCAUUGAGUGAACAAGGGAAGCAGCUAGCUAUCCAGGUGUCUAAUAUCCUGGGGAUGGAUGUGUGUGGCAUUGACCUGUUGAUGAAAGAUGACGGCUCCUUCUGCGUCUGUGAGGCCAAUGCAAAUCCUUUUCAGGAGCCAAAAAAACAAAUACAAACAAACAAAAAAAUACCCAGAGAAAAAACUUUCCUUCUUCCCCCUUCCUGAUGAUGAGUGAGAAGUAUUGAGAACUUUCGGGGUCAGUGCCCUUCUAAACUCCCCUUCCCCCAAUAAUGCAGCUGUAUAAUGAAUGGUAAAUGCACCGGUUUGGAUUCAGGCACAGCCCCAGUCUGCCUGCAGACAACUAAACUGGUAGGUGGCAGCAGAGGAAGGAAUUCUUCAGAUUGAUGGCUACUGACUUAAAGUCUGCAUAGGAGAAGAGAUAGAGCAUGACAUACCAAGUGAAGCAAGGGGGACAAAAAUGGAAACAGGAGUAAGAUUCCUGCAUUUUGACUCUAAAUGAAUGGAUGAAGAUAGAUUUGACUGUGUGCUUUUUCAAGUGGAGAAUAUGAAUAUACAGAACAAGAAAGCAAUAACUCCAACCUGUUUGAUUCCGUCUGUUUUCUAAAUAAAG